GUUUGGGAUGAUUGCAGCAGCAGGUCUGUUCUCUGUUCCACCGUUGUGUGUCGUUCCCGUGCUCUCGAGGGUCAAGUCGCCAGUUAGUUGUUCGCUACAUGUCUACUCGUACGGCGGCGUUUCGAAUUCGGCUACGUUACUCGUGUUAAUUGUAGUUUUGUGUCAGAUUUGUCUGUUGUGCAUUAGAGGGAGAGAAAACUUACCUUCGAUUAUAUGUGAAAGGAUUCGCCAAAGGCAACCCCUAGCAUUCCACGCGAACCGUGAACCCCUUUUCGGCAGAGCCUGGAAUGUCAGUGCUUGACGGUAGAAACGGAAACAUCCGGUGUGACAGUUUGGAGUUGAGAAGAAGUUUGUUCGUGCGGAUCGCGCGAACUUCGAGUGAGAAUGUUUGAUACAAGCACAAAGCCACAGUACGGUGGUUGGUGGUGAUUGGCGAUUAAUUAAGGUGAAAUUCGAGCAGAAGAAGCGAAGAAAGUAGGAAAAGUGGGAAGAAGAAAGUGACAUUAACCUUAAUGCAGAAUGAAAGGUGUACUGUAAAUAAAUAGUACAAAGCCAAUGAAUGAAUGAAGAGUGGGCGAAGAUUUAAAGUGUGAAACGAGAAAAAUGUCAUUGAUGGACGGGAAGAGCUCGGAGAAGAAGUGGUGAAAAGUU